UAAAAUACUGUCUGUCAUGGGUUAUGCUACAUAAAUACUCAAACUUUUUUUCUGUGAAGACUCUCCACUAGUUUGAGUACAUAUAAGUUAGAAAUGUAUGCAAUGUUACUAACAGUAUUUAUUGGGCUGGUAACUGCGACUGUAACAGUGGAUUAUACAGGCAAACUAUCUUAUCUCGUGAAUUCGACGCUUCCUCCGACAAAAAACCUUCAGUAUGUAUAUGCGCUCUUUAGGCAUGGAAUACGAUAUUCUGUGAAUCUGCCAUAUCCAAAUGACCCUAACACGCCUUGGUAUCCAAUAGUUUUCCCGGGAACCCCUGGAAAACUUACAGAGGUUGGUCAGCGAGACAUGUUUAAUGUUGGACAAAACUUAAAGAGAAGAUAUGGAGACUGUUGGAGGUUACACUCAGGAGAAGGUGCACGUGUCUGCAACUAAUUUUACUACAAGAACAACAGUGACGGCUCUUUGUGUUAUGGCUGGCCUAUUUUCUCCUUCCAAGCAAAUAUUCAAGGAUUUACCGAACUGGCAGCCCAUUCCUGUCUGGCAAAAUACAUCAGAUUUUGACAAAGCUUAUCUAGCCAGACGUGCCCAAGAUUUGGAAAAGUAUUAUGGAAAGCAAAGGAGAUGAUAAGAAAACCUGAUCCAAUAAAAGAUCGUCAAGUGAUUUAUAAACUACUUCAGAGCUUUACUGGAGACCCAAAUGCAGACAAUGAAGAAUGUGCUUCUAACAUUUUUGACACUUUACAUUUUCAAGAUUUAAAUGGAUUACCAGUACCAACAUGGGCAACUCAACCUCAGCCACAAUGUAAAAAUAUAUCUCUCUAUCCAGACCUGCUAGGAGCUAUUUGUUUAGAAUCUUUUUACGACACGAUAUAUCCAAAAAAUGAAAAAUAUGUUCUCCAAUUUUAUGCAGGGCCAAUUGUGAACAGUGUACAAGAACAGCU
rnacentral:misc_RNA from 1 species